CAGCAGCCGCGGUAAUACAGAGGGUGCGAGCGUUAAUCGGAUUUACUGGGCGUAAAGCGUGCGUAGGCGGCUUUUUAAGUCGGAUGUGAAAUCACUGAGCUUAACUUAGGAAUUGCAUUCGAUACUGGGAAGCUAGAGUAUGGGAGAGGAUGGUAGAAUUCCAGGUGUAGCGGUGAAAUGCGUAGAGAUCUGGAGGAAUACCGAUGGCGAAGGCAGCCAUCUGGCCUAAUACUGACGCUGAGGUACGAAAGCAUGGGGAGCAAACAGGAUUAGAUACCCCGGUAGUCUCUGUCUCUUAUAA
rnacentral:rRNA from 1 species